rnacentral:rRNA from 1 species
UACGUAGGCAGCGAGCGUUGUUCGGAGUUACUGGGCGUAAAGGGUGCGUAGGCGGUUGUUUAAGUUUGGUGUGAAAUCCCCCGGCUCAACCGGGGAACGGGCGCCGAUACGACCGCCCUGGAGGGACGUAGGGGGACCUGGAACUUCCGGUGGAGCGGUGAAAUGCGUUGAGAUCGGAAGGAACGCCCGUGGCGAAAGCGAGGUCCUGGACGUUUUCUGACGCUGAGACGCGAAAGCCAGGGGAGCGAACGGG